GUACACUUCAGCAGAUCACAUAUAAUAAAUUGGAUACGAUACAGAGAAGAUUAGCAUGGCCCCUGCGAAAGGAUGACCCUUAGGUCGUGACGUUCCAUAUUUUA